rnacentral:rRNA from 1 species
CCUACGGGUGGCAGCAGUGGGGAAUCUUGGGCAAUGGGCGCAAGCCUGACCCAGCAACGCCGCGUGAAGGAAGAAGGCUUUCGGGUUGUAAACUUCUUUUCUCAGGGACGAAGCAAGUGACGGUACCUGAGGAAUAAGCCACGGCUAACUACAGGCCAGCAGCCGCGGUAAUACGUAGGUGGCAAACGUUAUCCGGAUUACAUGGGGCUAAAGGGCGUGUAGGCGGGAAUGCAAGUCAGAUGUGAAAACCACGGGCUCAAACUGUGGUCUGCAUGUGAAACUGUUGUUCUUGAGUACUGGAGAGGCGGACGGAAUUCCUAGUGUAGCGGUGAAAUGCGUAGAUAUUAGGAGGAACACCAGUGGCGAAGGCGGUCUGCUGGACAGCAACUGACGCUGAGGCGCGAAAGCGUGGGGAGCAAACAGGAUUAGAUACCCGUGUAGUC